ensembl:snoRNA
AACCCCUGGCAAUGGGCAAAGAGGCACCUCAUUGGUGGUGUUACUCUUAUAUCAGUCGGGGGCAGAGUAGACUGACAGCCCUUUGUUCAUCCUAGCUUGAUGCCUGGGUUGGUGGCCAGAGCUGUUUCAUGCCUAGGGCACAGAA